rnacentral:lncRNA from 1 species
AGCGAAGGGGUGGGGUGGGAUCUUGGUCCAGCUGGUACUGGAGCGGCGACAAUUUUGGCUAGUCUAAGAAGGGCAUUCGAGUGACCGUUGACAACGGGUGGGACAGCGUCAGAGCUGGAGGGAGAGCCAGCACUGUAUGCUUCCAGGACUUCUUGCUAGGUGCAUUAGUUUUUAUUUUUAAGAGUUGGGUAAAAGACAUUAAUUAGUUAGCAUCUCACUCAUCGGCGAUUUUCUACGGUAUGAUUUCAUCCAAAGAGGAUUUCUUAAUCGCACUGUGUGACACCGUUAGGGGACUUAGAGUGUCACUCGCCGCCUUAAAUCCUUUCGGGAACAAGCCAGGAUAUAAAUAAAUAAAGCUAGGUGUGGGUCUUCCCUUCACAAGGCGCUGGUAGGCAGACUAAAGACAGGCAACAGCUGAGUGUGCACACAGAACUAAAUAUUGAACGAAAUACGAGUGUCGGAAUAAAAUUCAUUGCCAUGUGCACGGCUUAUGAUUAUACAGAUCUUGGACAUAUCACGGACCUGAACGUCAACCCUGCAACACCGGAUAAAACAUCUAAUGUAGCUGGAAUAGACUCUGAAAGGACGUUAGGCAUUAUCUAAAUCAAGUCCCUCAUUUUACAGAUGAGUAAACUGACUCAGUGAAGUAUUUUGCUCAAGGUCGUUCAUCAAAUUAGUAGUUUAAUUAACUCAGUGUUCUAGGAAGCAGGGUAGUAGAAAAGCAUGGGAUUCGGAGUCUGAAAUCUUCCUUGGUUUCUGGUCCUUGUAGGCUGUUUUACAAGUGUAUCUUGGGCAAAUCCCUUAACGUCUUGCCAUUUAUUAAGGGCUUACUUACCACGUGGCAAACAAUCCACUUUGCAUGCUGUGUCAAUUACAUGCAGUAUGUCGUGUAGUUAUUACUGUCCCCAUUUUAUGAGGUAGUUUAGGUUUAAAGAUAUUAGAAAUUUACCCAAAGUUACGCAGUUAUAAACAUUGUAGUAAUUUCAAACUCAGGUCUUCGUGACUGCAAAGGCUGCUGUCUUAAGUAUUGUAAUACAUUAGAGCUCCGGAUUCCCUCCCACUCAAAACAGAGACUGAGACUCCAACCAAUUUCCACCAUUAUUGGGAGUCAAACGAGAGAGACUGUGGCAAUGUAUUCUAAGCUGUACAAAGGUAUAAACAUAUUCACUAGAUUUGUAGAAUGAAGUUAUUCCUUCCCUAUACUUUCCACUACAACAAUUCAGCCAAAAAGAUGGCUUUCAUACUAAGCAUAAGAAGGAACUUCACUGUAAUUAUGAUAUUCUAACCAAGAAUAUAUGCAUAUCUAGGCAAUAACCAAAGUGAAUAGAAUAAAAUUUAAUUCCUGAUAGAUUAAAUAGGCAAUAGCAAGGAAUGCUAACGCUCCUCAUAGCGUUCUUGUUGGAAGAAUCAUCUAGGAGGCAUUGGGAUUUCUGGUGCUUUUUAAGCAAUGAGAGAUAUCAGUCCACUGAAUGAGGAAGAGAAUAACGUUUAGUUUCGGACUAAAAGUUCAUCUGGACUACGGAAAACACGUUUGCCUCAAUCAGUGAAGAAGGUAUGCUGAGAGCUGAAAGAAAAGGAAAGCAGCAACAGUGAGAGCUCAGAAAUUCCCAGACUGUUUUGAUGAUAAGGUCCAAGAACUUGCCAUGUGAUCCAUCACUACUAGACUCCCACAACUGCAUUAGAUUUGUUCAGGAUUUUCAUAUAAUUUUCAUAACUGGCUAAGCAUUGGAAAUGGAUGGGGAGAAGGCCUGAUGAAAAUUACUGAGGAAGCCUCUUAGCCUAUGUGCUCUGAGAGUAGUGACACCUAGCAGUCGUUCAAAAGAUGAUCAAGAGGAGCAUGAAAAAAUCCCCUGAAUCCAUUGGCUUUCUUCCCUAUACUGACAACAGUUUACUUGUGUAAGAGAUGCAUGCCUCGACUCCGGACCCCUUCUUUCAUCUGCAAAAUCAGCAGCACCCUCACAUCAUCUCCUGUAACAAACUCUCUCUGUCUCCUCCAUAUAAGGUCACUGAUGGUUACAUUUAGGGUCCAUGAUAUAAGAAGAUGGAUGUCUAUUGCUUUUCUCUUGAUAUUCAUGGCACUGCUCCUCUCCAUCCAUAGGAUUAUCUUAUAGAUGAGGGUCUCAUCCUUUUGCCCAGGCUGGAGUACAG